AUUGAACGCUGGCGGCAUGCCUUACACAUGCAAGUCGAACGGCAGCACGGGUGCUUGCACCUGGUGGCGGGUGGCGAACGGGUGAGUAAUACAUCGGAACAUGUCCUGUAGUGGGGGAUAGCCCGGCGAAAGCCGGAUUAAUACCGCAUACGAUCUACGGAUGAAAGCGGGGGACCUUCGGGCCUCGCGCUAUAGGGUUGGCCGGUGGCUGAUUAGCUAGUUGGUGGGGUAAAGGCCUACCAAGGCGACGAUCAGUAGCUGGUCUGAGAGGACGACCAGCCACACUGGGACUGAGACACGGCCCAGACUCCUACGGGAGGCAGCAGUGGGGAAUUUUGGACAAUGGGCGAAAGCCUGAUCCAGCAAUGCCGCGUGUGUGAAGAAGGCCUUCGGGUUGUAAAGCACUUUUGUCCGGAAAGAAAUCCUUGGCUCUAAUACAGUCGGGGGAUGACGGUACCGGAAGAAUAAGCACCGGCUAACUACGUG
rnacentral:rRNA from 1 species